rnacentral:rRNA from 1 species
CCUACGGGAGGCAGCAGUGGGGAAUAUUGCACAAUGGGGGAAACCCUGAUGCAGCGACGCCGCGUGAGGGAAGAAGUAUCUCGGUAUGUAAAGCUCUAUCAGCAGGGACGAAAAUGACGGUACCUGACUAAGAAGCCCCGGCUAACUACGUGCCAGCAGCCGCGGUAAUACGUAGGGGGCAAGCGUUAUCCGGAUUUACUGGGGGUAAAGGGGGCGUAGACGGCAGCACAAGUCUGGAGUGAAAUGCCGGGGCUUAACCCCGGAACUGCUUUGGAAACUGUGCGGCUAGAGUGCAGGAGGGGUAAGCGGAAUUCCUAGUGUAGCGGUGAAAUGCGUAGAUAUUAGGAGGAACACCGGUGGCGAAGGCGGCUUGCUGGACUGUAACUGACGUUGAGGCUCGAAAGCGUGGGGAUCAAACAGGAUUAGAUACCCUUGUAGUC